AGUGAACGCUGGCGGUAGGCCUAACACAUGCAAGUCGAACGGCAGCACAGUAAGAGCUUGCUCUUACGGGUGGCGAGUGGCGGACGGGUGAGGAAUACAUCGGAAUCUACUUUUUCGUGGGGGAUAACGUAGGGAAACUUACGCUAAUACCGCAUACGACCUACGGGUGAAAGCAGGGGAUCUUCGGACCUUGCGCGGUUGAAUGAGCCGAUGUCGGAUUAGCUAGUUGGCGGGGUAAAGGCCCACCAAGGCGACGAUCCGUAGCUGGUCUGAGAGGAUGAUCAGCCACACUGGAACUGAGACACGGUCCAGACUCCUACGGGAGGCAGCAGUGGGGAAUAUUGGACAAUGGGCGCAAGCCUGAUCCAGCCAUACCGCGUGGGUGAAGAGGGCCUUCGGGUUGUAAAGCCCUUUUGUUGGGAAAGAAAAGCAGCAGGUUAAUACCCCGCUGUUCUGACGGUACCCAAAGAAUAAGCACCGGCUAACUUCGUG
rnacentral:rRNA from 1 species